rnacentral:rRNA from 2 species
UUAAGCAUAUCAAUAAGCGGAGGNAAAGAAACUAACAAGGAUUCCCCUAGUAACUGCGAGUGAAGCGGGAAAAGCUCAAAUUUAAAAUCUGGCAGCUUUGGCUGUCCGAGUUGUAGUCUGGAGAAGCGUUUUCUGUGCUGGACCGUGUACAAGUCUCUUGGAACAGAGCGUCAUAGAGGGUGAGAAUCCCGUCUUUGACACGGACCGCCAGUGCUGUGUGAUGCGCUCUCAAAGAGUCGAGUUGUUUGGGAAUGCAGCUCAAAAUGGGUGGUAAAUUCCAUCUAAAGCUAAAUAUUGGCGAGAGACCGAUAGCGAACAAGUACCGUGAGGGAAAGAUGAAAAGCACUUUGGAAAGAGAGUUAAACAGUACGUGAAAUUGCUGAAAGGGAAACACUUGAAGUCAGUCGCGUUGGCCGGAAYUCAGCCUGGCUUUUGCCUGGUGUAUUUUCUGGUUGACGGGCCAGCAUCAAUUUUGACCGUUGGACAAAGGCCGGGGGAAUGUGGCACCUUCGGGUGUGUUAUAGCCCUUGGUCACAUGCAAUGGUUGGGAUUGAGGAUCUCAGCAUGCCUUUAUGGUCGGKGUUCGCCCACGUUCAUGCUUAGGAUGCUGGCGUAAUGGCUUUAAANGACCCGUCUUGAAACACGGACCAAGGAGUCUAACAUACCUGCGAGUGUUUGGGUGGAAAACCCGAGCGCGCAAUGAAAGUGAAAGUNGGGAUCCCUGUCGCGGGGAGCACCGACGCCCGGACCAGACCUUCUGUGACGGAUCCGCGGUAGAGCAUGCAUGUUGGGACCCGAAAGAUGGUGAACUAUGCCUGAAUAGGGUGAAGCCAGAGGAAACUCUGGUGGAGGCUCGUAGCGAUUCUGACGUGCAAAUCGAUCGUCAAAUUUGGGUAUAGGGGCGAAANACUAAUCG